rnacentral:misc_RNA from 1 species
UCCCUGUUGCCAGGGCAGUCUCGUUAGAAAAAUACAACUAACGAUAAGGGUUGCGCUCGUUGAUGGACUUAACCAAACAUCUCACGACACGAGCUGAAGACGGCCAUGCAUCACCUGUCACCACGUUCCAAAAGGCACACUCUCUUUUCAGAGAAUUUCGCGGGAUGUCAAGCCUUGGUAAGGUUCUUCGUUUACCGUCGGAUUAAACAACACGCUCCACCGCUUGUGCGGCUCCCCGUCAAUUCCUUUGAGUUUUAAUCUUGCGAUCGUACUCCCCAGGCGGGAUGCUUAACGCGUUAGCUUUGCUACUGAACGGGUCGAUACGUCCAACAGCUAGCAUCCAUCGUUUACAGCGUGGACUAC